GAAGACAUACAUACAAGUAUGAAAAAUGUGAAAGAAUAUAUAAACACUCGGGAUUUGUCAUUAUUCCUCUACAAAUAGAUAAUUGUUACACUUAUAUUAUCAUUUAGAUUUUUAAAAUCCUUCAAACCCUCAUGAAUAAUGUUUUUUAUUUGAGGGCAAAAUUAAUAAUAAUUAAUGUAGAAGUGUAAAAAAUGUAAAAAUAUAUAUAUACAAUCACUCAUAUAUAAAAAAAAUGUAAAUGCUUUAAAUUAAAGAUCAAAUUUAUUCAUUACAUUCUUAUAGGGUCGAGGAGUGUAUAUGUACAAAAUCAUCAAAAUCGAAGCUAAAAUAACCGUUAAAUUGUGAUUUUUCGUUUAUAACCGUCGAAAACUUUUGUUCCGUUACGUAAUAUCUGAAUGUUUGUUUUUUACGAUUUUUUAAGUUUGCAAUCUCGGAAUGUGUACAAAUAAGUUUGAUGGUUGAAUUGUUGAAAAACGUUUCGUAUAAUGCAUAUUGCGUCAAAACGGUAUAUUAAACAAACACUUAGAGUUAAUAUUAUACUUCUAUUAAGUAUAAAAUAAGUUUUUGUGGUAUCCACUAGUGUAAAUACUUUAAAUUAAAGAUCAAAUUUAUUCAUUACAUUCUUAUAGGGCCAAGGAGUGUAUCUGUAAAAAAUCAUCAAAAUCGGAGCUAAAAUAACCGUUAAAUUGUGAUUUUUCAUUUAUAAUCGUCGAAAACUUUUGUUCCAUUACGUAAUAUCUGAAUGUUUGUUUUUUACGAUUUUUUACGUAUGCGAUCUUGGAAUGUGUACAAAUAAGUUUGACGGUUGGAUCGUUGAAAAAAGUUUUGUAGAAUGCAUAUUGCGUCAAAAUGAUAGAUUAAACAAACACUUGGAGUUAAUAUUAUACUUUUAUUAAGUAUAAAAUAAGUUUUUGUGGUAUCCACUAGUGUAAAUACUUUAAAUUAAAGAUCAAAUUUAUUCAUUACAUUCUUAUAUGGUCGAGGAGUGUAUCUGUACAAAAAUCAUCAAAAUCGGAGUUAAAAUAACCGUUAAAUUGUGAUUUUUCGUUUAUAACCGUUGAAAACUUUUGUUCCGUUACGUAAUCUCUGAAUGUUUAUUUUUUACGAUUUUUUACGUAUGCAAUCUCGAAAUGUGUACAAAUAAGUUUGAUGGUUGGAUGAUUAAAAAUAGUUUCGUAAAAUGCAUAUUGCGUCAAAAUAGUAGAUUAACCAAACACUUAAAGUUAAUAUUAUACUUCAAUUAAGUAUAAAAAAAGUUUUUGUGGUAUCCACUAGUGUACAUACUUUAAAUUAAAGAUCAAAUUUAUUUAUUACAUUCUUAUAGGGUCGAGGAGUGUGUCUAUAAAAAAUCAUCAAAAUCGGAACUCAAAUAACCGUUAAAUUGUGAUUUUUCGUUUAUAACCGUCGAAAACUUUGUUCCGUUACGUAAUAUCUGAAUGUUUGUUUUUUAUGAUUUUUUACGUAUGCGAUCUCGGAAUGUGUACAAAUAAGUUUGACGGUUGGAUCAUUGAAAAAAGUUUUGUACAAUUCAUAUUGCAUCAAAACAGUAGAUUAAACAAACACUUAGAGUUAAUAUUAUACUUCUAUUAAGUAUAAAAUAAGUUUUUGU
rnacentral:lncRNA from 1 species